UGCAGCAGGCGCGAAACCUUUACACUGCACGACAGUGCGAUAAGGGAAUCCCAAGUGCGUAGGCAUAGAGCCUACGCUUUUGUCCACCGUAGGGAGGUGGACGAAUAAGGGCUGGGCAAGACCGGUGCCAGCCGCCGCGGUAAUACCGGCAGCCCGAGUGAUGGCCGAUCUUAUUGGGCCUAAAGCGUCCGUAGCUGGCCGCACAAGUCUAUCGGAAAAUCCACCCGCUCAACGGGUGGGCGUCCGGUAGAAACUGUGUGGCUUGGGACCGGAAGGCGCGACGGGUACGUCCGGGGUAGGAGUGAAAUCCCGUAAUCCUGGACGGACCGCCGAUGGUGAAAGCACGUCGCGAAGACGGAUCCGACAGUGAGGGACGAAAGCUAGGGUCUCG
rnacentral:rRNA from 1 species